AGAGUUUCAUCCUGGCUCAGGAUGAACGCUAGCGGCAGGCUUAACACAUGCAAGUCGAGGGGUAACAGGGAAAGCUUGCUUUUCGCUGACGACCGGCGCACGGGUGCGUAACGCGUAUGCAACCUACCUCUAACAGGAAGAUAGCUCUCGGAAACGGGAAUUAAUACUCCAUAAUAUUGCAGAUUCGCCUGUUUUUGCAAUUAAAGCUCCGGCGGUUAGAGAUGGGCAUGCGUCCUAUUAGCUUGUUGGUGAGGUAACGGCUCACCAAGGCGACGAUAGGUAGGGGGCCUGAGAGGGUGACCCCCCACACUGGUACUGAGACACGGACCAGACUCCUACGGGAGGCAGCAGUGAGGAAUAUUGGUCAAUGGAGGAAACUCUGAACCAGCCAUGCCGCGUGCAGGAUGACGGCCCUACGGGUUGUAAACUGCUUUUAUAUGGGAAGAAACUCCGAUACGUGUAUCGGCUUGACGGUACCAUACGAAUAAGGAUCGGCUAACUCCGUGCCAGCAGCCGCGGUAAUACGGAGGAUCCAAGCGUUAUCCGGAUUCAUUGGGUUUAAAGGGUGCGUAGGCGGAUUAGUAAGUUAGUGGUGAAAGACUGUGGCUCAACCAUAGAACUGCCAUUAAUACUGCUAGUCUUGAGUACAUUUGAAGUGGGCGGAAUACGACAUGUAGCGGUGAAAUGCAUAGAUAUGUCGUAGAACACCGAUUGCGAAGGCAGCUCACUAAACUGUAACUGACGCUGAGGCACGAAAGCGUGGGGAGCGAACAGGAUUAGAUACCCUGGUAGUCCACGCCGUAAACGAUGAUCACUCGCUGUUGGCGAUACACUGUCAGCGGCCAAGCGAAAGUAUUAAGUGAUCCACCUGGGGAGUACGCCGGCAACGGUGAAACUCAAAGGAAUUGACGGGGGCCCGCACAAGCGGUGGAGCAUGUGGUUUAAUUCGAUGAUACGCGAGGAACCUUACCAGGGCUUAAAUGUAGAUUGACAGAUUGGGAAACCAGUCCUUCUUCGGACAAUUUACAAGGUGCUGCAUGGUUGUCGUCAGCUCGUGCCGUGAGGUGUCGGGUUAAGUCCCAUAACGAGCGCAACCCCUAUCUUUAGUUGCCAGCGGUUCGGCCGGGGACUCUAAAGAAACUGCCAGCGCAAGCUGUGAGGAAGGUGGGGAUGACGUCAAAUCAUCACGGCCCUUACGUCCUGGGCUACACACGUGCUACAAUGGUAAAUACAAAGGGCAGCCACCCCGUGAGGGGGAGCGAAUCCUUAAAGUUUAUCUCAGUUCGGAUCGAAGUCUGCAACUCGACUUCGUGAAGCUGGAAUCGCUAGUAAUCGCGCAUCAGCCAUGGCGCGGUGAAUACGUUCCCGGGCCUUGUACACACCGCCCGUCAAGCCAUGGAAGCUGGGGGUACCUGAAGUCGGUAACCGUAAGGAGCUGCCUAGGGUAAAACUAGUAACUGGGGCUAAGUCGUAAAAGGUA
rnacentral:rRNA from 1 species